CGAGUCGGGAUUGGAUCUCAGUCGAAUCGAGUCGAACGUCAAUCGAAGGUCGCUUAAGUAAAAUUAGGAGAAUCGUCAUCGGCCGUUGUUACGGGUAGUUAGAUACCAGAGAAUCUUAUAUCUUAUAAACCUACCUUUUAUCGGGUAGGUAGGUGGACGUCUGACAGGCUGUCGUUCCAUAUAAAACAUUUAGAAGAGAAUAUGACCCCAGCUAGGGUCUCUCAGGUAGGGUAUCUCAGGAUAUGUCCUAAGACCUUAAGAUUUUUGGUCUCUCCUCUGGAUUGCGACCGGACAUCUUAGGAUUUUUUAAUGGAUCUAUUCUAAUCUUUGGACUUUUUAUUAUGCCCUAUCAAACCACUCUUUUUUUAACGACGUCAAAAAUCAUCAAAUGACCCCUCCCGCUGUGGGUUAGCAGCGGUGAGGGAUUGUCAGACUCUUACUGACUAAAAACCAUCGAGUUCCGUCGUAGGCCUUUUAUGUACCAGGGCCGCGGUAACUCUUUCGAACAAUCCCGCAGCCCCGGCAGAUCUUGGUCCUGUUGGGCCCACCAUGUCCCCCUAACCGCAACAUAUUUAGAAAAAAGCUAGGCAAAUCAGACUUACAUGAACUUCAUAUAAUCCAUCUUGCACGUUCAUCUCGCUACUGGUAAAGUUGGCAGCAUAAGGAAUGCCGUCGUCCCUCUGGCUGACGAAGGCGAGUGCCAGCGCGUCUCCCUGCAGCUCGCGCCGCCAUACCUCCAGGCGAGACCGCUGCACAAGGUGCAAGGAUUCAUUACGAAAGAUAGGAUGAAAGACGGCCUGUACCCAAUAGUGCAAGUACUGAAUCUGCAACUUUGGGCUUAACACAAUAUAUAAGAGGAAAUAAUAUUGUUGCCAGUUUCUCUAGAGAAUAAAGAAAGUAAAUUGUUAAAGAAGAUCUCUCAGAAAAGAAAACCGGAUCAAAAGGGUUCUAAGUGUUUUCUACAAAAACACAUAUAGAAGAAUUGCCUGUAUGUAUUUCAGAUAGUCCUCUACAACCACUCAUGUUAUUUUUCUUCUCAGCGAAUCGCACAAUAAAUUAUACUUUCAAAGAAA